rnacentral:rRNA from 1 species
UCGAGGGGUAACGGGGUGCUUGCACCGCCGACGACCGGCGCACGGGUGCGUAACGCGUAUACAAUCUACCUUGUAGAGGGGAAUAGCCCAGAGAAAUUUGGAUUAAUGCCCCAUAGUAUUAUUAGAUAGCAUUAUUUGAUAAUUAAACAUUUAUGGCUACAAGAUGAGUAUGCGUUCUAUUAGUUAGUAGGUAAGGUAACGGCUUACCUAGACUUCGAUAGAUAGGGGUCCUGAGAGGGAGAUCCCCCACACUGGUACUGAGACACGGACCAGACUCCUACGGGAGGCAGCAGUGAGGAAUAUUGGACAAUGGGCGAGAGCCUGAUCCAGCCAUGCCGCGUGCAGGAAGACGGCCCUAUGGGUUGUAAACUGCUUUUAUAGAGGAAGAAACCCUCCUACGUGUAGGAGCUUGACGGUACUCUACGAAUAAGGAUCGGCUAACUCCGUGCCAGCAGCCGCGGUAAUACGGAGGAUCCAAGCGUUAUCCGGAAUCAUUGGGUUUAAAGGGUCCGUAGGCGGGACAAUCAGUCAGCGGUGAAAGUCUGUGGCUCAACCAUAGAAUUGCCAUUGAUACUGUUGUUCUUGAAUACUUAUGAAGUGGUUGGAAUAUGUAGUGUAGCGGUGAAAUGCAUAGAUAUUACAUAGAACACCGAUUGCGAAGGCAGAUCACUAAUAAGUCAUUGACGCUGAUGGACGAAAGCGUAGGUAGCGAACAGGAUUAGAUACCCUGGUAGUCUACGCCGUAAACGAUGGUUACUAGCUGUUCGGUCGCAAGACUGAGUGGCUAAGCGAAAGUGAUAAGUAACCCACCUGGGGAGUACGUUCGCAAGAAUGAAACUCAAAGGAAUUGACGGGGGCCCGCACAAGCGGUGGAGCAUGUGGUUUAAUUCGAUGAUACGCGAGGAACCUUACCAGGCUUAAAUGUAGUUUGACCGAUUUGGAAACAGAUCUUUCGCAAGACAAAUUACAGGUGCUGCAUGG